UCUCUAGUGGCUCAGAGGAUAAAGCGUCUGCCUGCAAUGCAGGACACCUGGGUUCGAUCCCUGGGUUGGGAA
rfam:Ovis aries breed Texel chromosome 4, whole genome shotgun sequence.